UUUUGCCCACUCCUGUUGGCCGCUGCGGCUCCAAAGCGAGCUGGGCAGAUGUGCCUGAGACAGGUUUGACCAGGCAACUGAAAAGACAUCCCUAAGAGAAGACAAAGCAAAGGUAUGAAAGGAACACACGUCCCUGACUGACUAGGAGGAACAGAGCUGCCUGCUAUCUGGAACAACUUCCUCCCAGACUAAGUGAGAAAUAAACUUCUGUUUUCUAUAUG